rnacentral:rRNA from 1 species
AGAGUUUGAUCCUGGCUCAGAACGAACGCUGGCGGCGUGGAUAAGACAUGCAAGUCGAACGAGAGAAUUGCUAGCUUGCUAAUAAUUCUCUAGUGGCGCACGGGUGAGUAACACGUGAGUAACCUGCCCCCGAGAGCGGGAUAGCCCUGGGAAACAGGGAUUAAUACCGCAUAGUAUCGAAAGAUUAAAGCAGCAAUGCGCUUGGGGAUGGGCUCGCGGCCUAUUAGUUAGUUGGUGAGGUAACGGCUCACCAAGGCGAUGACGGGUAGCCGGUCUGAGAGGAUGUCCGGCCACACUGGAACUGAGACACGGUCCAGACACCUACGGGUGGCAGCAGUCGAGAAUCAUUCACAAUGGGGGAAACCCUGAUGGUGUGACGCCGCGUGGGGGAAUGAAGGUCUUCGGAUUGUAAACCCCUGUCAUGUGGGAGCAAAUUAAAAAGAUAGUACCACAAGAGGAAGAGACGGCUAACUCUGUGCCAGCAGCCGCGGUAAUACAGAGGUCUCAAGCGUUGUUCGGAAUCACUGGGCGUAAAGCGUGCGUAGGCUGUUUCGUAGGUCGUGUGUGAAAGGCGCGGGCUCAACCCGCGGACGGCACAUGAUACUGCGAGACUAGAGUAAUGGAGGGGGAACCGGAAUUCUCGGUGUAGCAGUGAAAUGCGUUGAUAUCGAGAGGAACACUCGUGGCGAAGGCGGGUUCCUGGACAUUAACUGACGCUGAGGCACGAAGGCCAGGGGAGCGAAAGGGAUUAGAUACCCCUGUAGUCCUGGCAGUAAACGGUGCACGCUUGGUGUGCGGGGAAACCAACCCCCUGGCGUGGCGGGACCUACGCCGUUAAGCGUGCCGCCUGGGGAGGAGGGUCGCAAGAUGAAAACUCAAAAAAAUUGACGGGGGACCCCGCACAGGCGGUGGGGUAUGUGGCUUAAUUAGAUGGCAACGCGAAGAAACCUUACCCUGGGGCUUGACAUGUAAUGAACAACAUGCGAAAGCAUGCGACUCUUCGGAGGAGUUACACAGGUGCUGCAUGGCAGUCGUCAGCUCGUGUCGUGAGAUGUUUGGUUAAGUCCAGCAACGAGCGCAACCCCUGUUGCCAGUUUCCAGCACGUGAAGGUGGGGACUCUGGCGAGACUGCCCAGAUCAACUGGGAGGAAGGUGGGGACGACGUCAGGUCAGUAUGGCCCUUAUGCCCAGGGCUGCACACGUACUACAAUGCCCAGUACAGAGGGGGCCGAAGCCGCGAGGCGGAGGAAAUCCUGAAAACUGGGCCCAGUUCGGACUGUAGGCUGCAACCCGCCUACACGGAGCCGGAAUC